UGAGGAAUAUUGGUCAAUGGGCGCAAGCCUGAACCAGCCAUCCCGCGUGAAGGAAGAAGGCGCUAUGCGUUGUAAACUUCUUUUCCAGGGAAAUAAAAUUUCGUACGUGUACGGAACUGAAGGUACCCUGGGAAUAAGCAGCGGCUAACUCCGUGCCAGCAGCCGCGGUAAUACGGAGGAUGCAAGCGUUAUCCGGAUUUAUUGGGUUUAAAGGGUGCGCAGGCGGAAAAAUAAGUCAGUGGUGAAAUCCUGCGGCUUAACUGUAGAAUUGCCGUGGAUACUGUUAGGCUUGAGUGCGGUCGAGGUAGGCGGAAUGUGUAAUGUAGCGGUGAAAUGCUUAGAUAUUACACAGAACACCGAUUGCGAAGGCAGCUUACUGGGCCAUUACUGACGCUCAUGCACGAAAGCGUGGGGAGCGAACA
rnacentral:rRNA from 1 species